ACCAACACCUAAACUAGAAGGUUGAUAAUAGAUCGGAACCUGAAGGAAAUAGACGGACGAAUGCUUCUUUCACUCUUCAAUGGAACAGUUCUUUACAAACACCAAAACAUACAGGUAAAACUUGAGAGAAAAAGAUCGGUCCCUUCUACUAUUACAGACAUGCUAUUUAUAAGAGAUGAAGAUGAGAGGGUAAGAUCGUCUUUUCCUUCGGGGCACGUGCUCGGUACGUCCUUGGCGUCGUUGUCACUGGUGACUGUCCUUGUUCCAACGGCCUUGCAGCUUUUGCCUCUUUCAGAAAGUAGUUGGGAACCCUUUUCUAAGGAGCGCUGGUGCUGCGCUGUUCUUUCAGAGGUGGUGAUGGCUGCGCUGCUCCUCAAGGGUGAUGAUGGCUGCGCUGCUCCUCAAGGGUGAUGAUGGCUGCGCUGCUCCUCAAGGGUGAUGAUGGCUGCGCUGCUCCUCAAGGGUGAUGAUGGCUGCGCUGCUCCUCAAGGGUGAUGAUGGCUGCGCUGCUCUCUCGAAGGGGGUGCCGGGGUCUUCACUCUUUGUCCUGCACUGUUAGUUUUCCUAUUCUACGCAAUAAUCAUUAAGUCAGUUAGAUCUUUCAUAUUGGUAACGUAUGGGGUACGGGUCGUGUGCUGCGCUGAUGUAGGACCUUAUCCCUCAUCACCAAGGCUGCACGUAGGGCCGAAGCCGAUAAACUCCGCGUGAAGAAAGGUGACAACGGGAUGCAUCCCGGCGAAAAACACUCUCAGAGAAUACCAUAUAAGGGUCUGCCACCAAGAAUGCCAGCCAUGGCGGUCGAAACAAGGCCUCCCUCCCCGAGACCUGCGCAGCCAGAUCGGCGCAACAGAACUGGGGAUACACAUGAGCGUCACCCUUUGGACAGGCCUGCUGACGAGAUUUUCCAUCUUGUCAAAGAUGAAGUUUGGUUCCGAGCCCCAUGGAAUUACACCCGCGGUGAUCCCAAACCAGGGAAAAAUGACCAACUAUGCGAAUACCAUAACGCUUAUGGGCACACAACCGCAAAUUGCGGACACCUGAUGAAUCAGCUGGAGAUAUUGGUGAGACAAGGUCGACUAGACAGAUUCGUCACUGGACCCCCGAAGCAACCAACAAGACGGCACAACCCCGCCGAAGCAACCAUAGACGUCAAAGAGGGGACACAAGGAACGACCCAGACCACAGGCAGGAAAGAGAACUAAGGAAUGAGGCACCAGAACGACCACCUUUCCAGAGGGAAAUUCAUAUGAUCGUUGGAGAAAACGGUAUACCCACAUCAAACAGAGCGAAGAAACAACUUGUCAGGGCUGUGAGAACAGGACACUUUAACUCUAAGGUCAUGGCUAUCACCAGCGCAGCCAGCGAACCCACCAUAUCCUUUGGCCCGGAAGAUGCCAGACCGUUAAUGUACCCCAUGAUGACGCCUUAGUCUUUUCAACAGACGUGGCUGGAUGCCUGGUCCACCGAGUUUUCGUGGACUCAGGCAGCGCGGUCAUCUUUGUGUACCGUAACUCCUGUUAACUGUUGCCAGUUGAGAGUCAGUUUUAAUCACUGCGUUGUCGGCUCUGAGUUCUCUGAGUAUGUGGGCUGCCCUUAGCACUGCUUCAUAUUCGGCUUCGUUGUUGGAUAGUUUAUCUUCAAACUUGAUAGCGAAUUGGUAGAUUUCUCCUUCGGGCGAGGUGAUGUAGAUUCCCACCCCACACCCCUCUUUGGUGACCGACCCAUCAACCUGUGCUAUCCACGGUCCCCUCAUAGGCCACCUUGUUGCUUCUUGAAUGAAGUCCGCCAGUGCCUGCGCUCUAAUGGUAGUGCGCGGCUCAAACUCGACCUCGUACUCUCCGAGCUCUAUGGCCCAUUUCACCAUCUUCCCCGCUAGAUCCGGACGCCCUAAGAUUUGUUUGAAUGGUAUUAUUGUCCUCACAAUGACCUUGUGUGAUAAGAAGUAUGGCCUUAACUUUCUGGCCGUGAUCAUGAUCGUGUAUGCGGUCUUCUCGACUUCGGUGUAGCGCAGCUCCGCACCCUGGAUGACCUUGCUUACAAAGUAUAUGGGUUUUUGUUGUCGAUUCUCCUCCCGGACCAGCACUGAGCUCAGGGAUUCAACUCCCACGGAGAUGUACAAGUAUAAUGGUUCCCCCGGAGAGGGUUUUGUCAACACUGGUAGUUUGGUCAGGUAAGCUUUUAGGUCUUCGAAGGCUCUUUGGCACUCACUACUCCAUUCAAACCGACUUCCUUUUCGUAGAAUCUUGAAGAACGGGAGACUUCGCUCAGCUGAGCGUGAAAUGAACCGACUCAACGCGGUAAUUCGCCCGUUGAGUGUUUGGAUUUCUUUGACAUUCCUGGGUGAAGUCAUGUUCAGAAUAGCUUUAACUUUGUCAUUGUUAACUUCGAUCCCCUCCGGUGUUACUCUAUAACCCAAGAACUUUCCUGAUUGCACCCCGAAGGUGCACUUAUCAGGAUUGAGCAUGAGUCUAUUCUUGCGGACUACUGAGAAGGUUUCCUCCAGAUCGGCCACGUGGGAGCUGGCCUUAAUGCUGCGCACCAACAUGUCGUCGACAUAUACCGAGAUAUUUCUCCUCAGCUGUGUCCUGAAAAUUUUGUCCAUCAUACGCUGGUAUGUGGCCCCUGCAUUCUUGAGGCCGAAGGGCAUGCUUUCCCACCCGAAGACUCCUGUGCACACUGCGAAGGCGGUUUUGGCUACAUCAUCUGGAUGCAUCUUUACCUGAUGAUAUCCUUGGUAUGCGUCCAUCAUGGACAAGAGUUCACACCCUGAAGUAGCAUCCACCAGUUGAUCUAUUCGAGGGAGCGGGUAACAGUCCUUAGGGCAAGCUGCGUUGAGGUCUCUGUAGUCCACACACAUUCUCCACACCUUGACUUUCUUUUCUACCAUGACUGCAUUAGAUAUCCAUUCAGGAUAUUGGACUUCCACGAUAUGUCCUGCCUCUAGGAGGGCUUGGACCUGUUCCCGAAUAGCUGCAUCCUUCUCCGCGCCAAAGUGUCUUGUUUUCUGUCUGACUGGUUUAACCAUUGGGUCCACAUUAAGACGAUGUUCGGCUAGCUCUCUGUUUAUCCCUUUAAGAUCAGAAGUGUUGAAUGCGAAUACAUCCGCGUUCCUGCGCAGGCACGCGGUAACUUCCUUUUGGAGGGUUGGUGCCAUUCCCGCUCCAAUUCUGGUAGUGUAUCCUUCCCUCUCGGGAAAAAGUUCAAUGAGCAAGCAUGCAUCACUCGUGGAAACGAGUGGCUGUUUAUCAACUCCAUCUCUGAGUUCCAUGAUUUCUCUGCGUUCGGGGUUUGACGCGGUGACUAUCCCCAUCUUCCCCUUUCUCUGAUCAUUAGGUUCCCCCGGGACAUUUGCUUGCUUUCGUUUCUGCUUUCGGGUGUUGGGAUCGUCUCCAACACUAUCGUUCUGUUGAGUUAGUGUUUGCACAUGACAUUGCUUCGAUGUAGCUUGAUCCCCCCACACUUCCCCAAUUCUUCCACCGUCUAUUGGAAACUUCAUUUUGAGGUAGAACGUGGAAACUACUGCCUUGAAGGUGUUAAGCGCGGGCCGCCCAAGAUGAUGUUGUACGUAGGUUUCAGAGCAUCUAUGAUCAAGAAUCUGAUUGUCCUGGUUUUAUAACCCUGCGAUCGUCCCAAGGUAACUGGCAGUUCCACCAUUCCGAUUGGUACUACUGAUUCUCCUGAGAAUCCAUAGAGUGGUGCAUUCGUUGGUUCAACAUUGACAUCCGAGCCAAGGGCCUUCCAGCAGUUCCAGUACACAAUGUUCACCGCGCUGCCUGAGUCCACGAAAACUCGGUGGACCAGGCAUCCAGCCACGUCUGUUGAAAAGACUAAGGCGUCAUCAUGGGGGUACAUUAACGGUCUGGCAUCUUCCGGGCCAAAGGAUAUGGUGGGUUCGCUGGCUGCGCUGGUGAUAGCCAUGACCUUAGAGUUAAAGUGUCCUGUUCUCACAGCCCUGACAAGUUGUUUCUUCGCUCUGUUUGAUGUGGGUAUACCGUUUUCUCCAACGAUCAUAUGAAUUUCCCUCUGGAAAGGUGGUCGUUCUGGUGCCUCAUUCCUUAGUUCUCUUUCCUGCCUGUCGUCUGGGUCGUUCCUUCUCUCCCCCCCAUCACGCCUAUGGUUACCCCGGUCGCGGUUGUGCCGCUCUCCGUUCAUUGCUCUCGGGGGUCCAGUGACGAAUCUGUCUAGUCGACCUUGUCUCACCAAUAUCUCCAGCUGAUUCAUCAGGUGUCCGCAAUUUGCGGUUGUGUGCCCAUAAGCGUUAUGGUAUUCGCAUAGUUGGUCAUUUUUCCCUGGUUUGGGAUCACCGCGGGUGUAAUUCCAUGGGGCUCGGAACCAAACUUCAUCUUUGACAAGAUGGAAAAUCUCGUCAGCAGGCCUGUCCAAAGGGUGACGCUCAUGUGUAUCCCCAGUUCUGUUGCGCCGAUCUGGCUGCGCAGGUCUCGGGGAGGGAGGCCUUGUUUCGACCGCCAUGGCUGGCGUUCUUGGUGGCAGGCCCUUAUAUGGUAUUCUCUGAGAGUGUUUUUCGCCGAGGUGCAUCCCGUUGUCACCUUUCUUCACGCGGAGUUUAUCGGCUUCGGCCCUACGUGCAGCCUUGGUGAUGAGGGAUAAGGUCCUCAUCAGCGCAGCACACGACCCGUACCCCAUACGUUACCAAUAUGAAAGAUCUACUGACUUAAUGAUUAUUGCGUAGAAUAGGAAAACUAACAGUGCAGGACAAAGAGUGAAGACCCCGGCACCCCCUUCGAGAGAGUAGCGCAGCCAUCAUCACCCUUGAGGAGCAGCGCAGCCAUCAUCACCCUUGAGGAGCAGCGCAGCCAUCAUCACCCUUGAGGAGCAGCGCAGCCAUCAUCACCCUGGAGGAGCAGCGCAGCCAUCAUCACCCUUGAGGAGCAGCGCAGCCAUCACCACCUCUGAAAGAACAGCGCAGCACCAGCGCUCCUUAGAAAAGGGUUCCCAACUACUUUCUGAAGAGGCAAAAGCUGCAAG
rnacentral:lncRNA from 1 species